CCAGACUUGUCUACUUGUAUCCUAAGUUGUAUGUUGUAUAUUUUUGUGUGAAAUGCUCCAGUCAGAACGGGCUUGGAGGGACCUGGACUCACUGUUGCUCAGAAACUUUGGUACUGUAUUGCCACUGUUGGUGGUCAAUAUAUCUGGGCCCGUUUACAAUCAUUUUCUGCUUUCCGUAGAUGGGGUGAUUUUGAGCAGAGGUCACUGCCACGCCGAGCUUGGAUACUAAUACAACAUAUAGAAGGAAUUUUUAAAGCUGCCUCGUUUGGCAACCUGCUUAUAUUUCUAUACACAGGAAGGGCAUAUUGGCAAUGUAUCAUCUCUGUGUUCUAUCUAAAGAACAAAAGGAUUAUAAAGUAUCAUUGACCAACAUUAAACCUGUA